AACGCGAAGAACCUUACCUACUCUUGACAUCCAGAGAACUUUCCAGAGAUGGAUUGGUGCCUUCGGGAACUCUGAGACAGGUGCUGCAUGGCUGUCGUCAGCUCGUGUUGUGAAACGUUGGGUUAAGUCCCGCAACGAGCGCAACCCUUAUCCUUGUUUGCCAGCGAGUAAUGUCGGGGACUCCAGGGAGACUGCCGGUGAUAAACCGGAGGAAGGUGGGGACGACGUCAAGUCAUCAUGGCCCUUACGAGUAGGGCUACACACGUGCUACAAUGGCGCAUACAGAGGGCAGCCAACUUGCGAAAGUGAGCGAAUCCCAAAAAGUGCGUCGUAGUCCGGAUUGGAGUCUGCAACUCGACUCCAUGAAGUCGGAAUCGCUAGUAACCGUGGAUCAGAAUGCCACGGUGAAUACGUUCCCGGGCCUUGUACACACCG
rnacentral:rRNA from 1 species